rnacentral:tRNA from 1 species
GCCUGGGUGGCUCAGUCGGUUGAGCGUCCGACUUCGGCUCAGGUUAUGAUCUCGCGGUUUGUGGGUUUGAGCCCCGCAUCAGGCU